CUUCUGCUCCUGACCACACGUGGACCUCUCCAGGGUGACCUCCCCGGUCUAAGCCAGCUUCGGUCUCACCGGGAUUACGGCUGCCAUCCCAUCCUCACUGUGUACUUCCACUUGUGCUCCCUCAAGAGAAAGUAUAAAUCAGCUCUCAUCUCCCCACUGAUUCAAGUCCUCCGAAGACUGCCCAGCUGCAGUUACAGCAAAUCCCAAACAUUUUGCCUCGGUCUUCAGGCUCAUCCCCACAAGUGCCGAUCGACCUGUGGAUGACAAUGAAAAUAAAACAAAGUCCUUGGAUCCAAUACCUGAUACUCCUCCUGACUACACUGCCAUUUAAGUUCAGCAGAUCCAAAACCUGAUGACCCUCCAGAGCAUAAUCCCCAUUAUAUAUCUGGUAAGUUAAAUCUUCAGAAUCUUUUCACCACUGCAGAAAAGACACUAAGGGUUAAGCUGCUUGUUUAACU
rnacentral:lncRNA from 1 species